UAUUUGGAAUGAUGAAGAAAAAUAUGUUGGUAGGGACAUCUGAAAUUGAAUGAUGGGUGCCAACAUUUCUGACCAAAUUUA